rnacentral:rRNA from 1 species
UACGUAGGGUGCAAGCGUUGUCCGGAAUUAUUGGGCGUAAAGAGCUCGUAGGCGGUCUGUCGCGUCGGCUGUGAAACCCGAGGCUCAACCUCGGGCCUGCAGUCGAUACGGGCAGACUAGAGUUCGGCAGGGGAGACUGGAAUUCCUGGUGUAGCGGUGAAAUGCGCAGAUAUCAGGAGGAACACCGGUGGCGAAGGCGGCCAACUGGACCAUUAACUGACGCU